GACGAACGCUGGCGGCGUGCUUAACACAUGCAAGUCGAACGCUGAAGACCUGGCUUUUGUUGGGUUGGAUGAGUGGCGAACGGGUGAGUAACACGUGAGUAACCUGCCCUCUUCUUUGGGAUAACGCCCGGAAACGGGUGCUAAUACUGGAUAUUCACUGAUCUUCGCAUGGGGGUUGGUGGAAAGGUUUGUUCUGGUGGGGGAUGGGCUCGCGGCCUAUCAGCUUGUUGGUGGGGUGAUGGCCUACCAAGGCUUUGACGGGUAGCCGGCCUGAGGGGUGACCGGUCACAUUGGGACUGAGAUACGGCCCAGACUCCUACGGGAGGCAGCAGUGGGGAAUAUUGCACAAUGGGCGAAAGCCUGAUGCAGCGGCGCCGCGUGAGGGAUGGAGGCCUUCGGGUUGUAAACCUCUUUCGCUCAUGGUCAAGCCGCAACUGUGGGUUGUGGUGAGGGUAGUGGGUAAAGAAGCGCCGGCUAACUACGUG
rnacentral:rRNA from 1 species